rnacentral:ncRNA from 1 species
UUAGCUCGCGUUGAUUACUUCCUUGCCCUUUGUACACACCGCCCGUCGCUACUACCGAUUGAAUGGUUUAGUGAGUCCCUCCGAUUGGACCCGGUCCGGGCGGCGACGUCCGAGCCGGCGUCCGAGAAGACGAUCUAACUUGAUCAUUUAGAGGAAGUAAAAGUCGUAACAAGGUUUCCGUAGGUGAACCUGCGGAAGGAUCAUUA